GACGAACGCUGGCGGCGUGCCUAAUACAUGCAAGUCGAACGCAGUGGGAAUGGGUGAGUAACACGUGGGUAACCUCCCAUCAGAGGGGAUAACACUUGGAAAAAGGUGCAAAACCGACACUGACGGAUGGAGCCCCGGUGCAUUUGCUAGUUGGUGGGGUAACGGCUUACCAAGGCCACGAUGCAUAGCCGCCCUGCGAGGUGGACAGGCCAAACGGGGACUGAGACACGGCCCAGACUCCUACGGGAGGCAGCAGUGGGGAAUCUUCGGCAAUGGACGAAAGUCUGACCGAGCAACGCCGCGUGAGUGAAGAAGGUUUUCGGAUCGUAAAACUCUGUUGUUAGAGAAGCGGUAUCUAACCAGAAAGCCACGGCUAACUACGUGCCAGCCGCCGCGGUAAUUC
rnacentral:rRNA from 1 species